rnacentral:rRNA from 1 species
AGAGCGAACGCUGGCGGCAGGCUUAACACAUGCAAGUCGAGCGGGCGUAGCAAGUACGUCAGCGGCAGACGGGUGAGUAACGCGUGGGAACGUACCUUUUGGUUCGGAACAACACAGGGAAACUUGUGCUAAUACCGGAUAAGCCCUUACGGGGAAAGAUUUAUCGCCGAAAGAUCGGCCCGCGUCUGAUUAGCUAGUUGGUGAGGUAACGGCUCACCAAGGCGACGAUCAGUAGCUGGUCUGAGAGGAUGAUCAGCCACAUUGGGACUGAGACACGGCCCAAACUCCUACGGGAGGCAGCAGUGGGGAAUAUUGGACAAUGGGCGCAAGCCUGAUCCAGCCAUGCCGCGUGAGUGAUGAAGGCCCUAGGGUUGUAAAGCUCUUUUGUGCGGGAAGAUAAUGACGGUACCGCAAGAAUAAGGCCCCGGCUAACUUCGUGCCAGCAGCCGC